rnacentral:rRNA from 1 species
UACGUAGGGGGCGAGCGUUGUCCGAAGUUACUGGGCGUAAAGCGCGCGUAGGCGGUCCUUUAAGUCCGGGGUGAAAGGUUCAGCGCUCAACGUGAACAGUGCCCUGGAGACUGGGGACUUGAGUGUGGGAGGGGGCAGUGGAAUUCCUGGUGUAGCGGUGAAAUGCGCAGAUAUCAGGAGGAACACCGGUGGCGAAGGCGGAUCUCUGGGCCGUAACUGACGCUGAGGAGCGAAAGCAUGGGGAGCGAACAGG